AUACCGGCCAGAGACCGAUAGCGCACAAGUAGAGUGAUCGAAAGAUGAAAAGCACUUUGGAAAGAGAGUCAAACAGCACGUGAAAUUGUUAUAAGGGAAGCGCUUGCAGCCAGACUUGCCUGUAGUUGCUCACCUGGGCUUUUGCCCGGGGCACUCUUCUGCAGGCAGGCCAGCAUCAGUUUGGGCGGUCGGAUAAAGGCCUCUGACACGUACUUCCUUUCGGGGUUGACAUAUAGGGGAGGCGCAAUGCGACCAGCCUGGACUGAGGUCCGCGCAUCUGCUAGGAUGCUGGCGUAAUGGCUGUAAGCGGCCCGUCUUGAAACACGGACC
rnacentral:rRNA from 1 species